AACACCUGGCGGCGUGCCUAACACAUGCAAGUCGAACGAGAAAGGGCUUCGGCCUGAGUAAAGUGGCGCACGGGUGAGUAACACGUGACUAACCUACCCUGGAGUGGGGAAUAACUGAGGGAAACCUUAGCUAAUACCGCAUAAUACCCACGGGUCAAAGGAGCAAUUCGCUUCAGGAGGGGGUCGCGGCCGAUUAGUUAGUUGGCGGGGUAAUGGCCCACCAAGACGGUGAUCGGUAUCCGGCCUGAGAGGGCGCACGGACACACUGGAACUGAAACACGGUCCANACUCCUACGGGAGGCAGCAGUGGGGAAUUUUGCGCAAUGGGGGAAACCCUGACGCAGCAACGCCGCGUGGAGGAUGAAAUCCCUUGGGAUGUAAACUCCUUUCGAUCGGGACGAUUAUGACGGUACCGGAAGAAGAAGCCCCGGCUAACUUCGUGCCAGCAGCCGCGGUAAUACGAGGGGGGCAAGCGUUGUUCGGAAUUAUUGGGCGUAAAGGGUGUGUAGGCGGUUUGGUAAGUCUUGUGUGAAAUCUUCGGGCUCAACUCGAAGUCUGCACAAGAAACUGCCGGGCUUGAGUAUGGGA
rnacentral:rRNA from 1 species